GCGUCUUUCAGGCACAGACUCUGUCUGAGUGGGAGUGGGGUGGGGGCUGCAGUCUUAACCGCGGAGGGAAGAGGUGGGGGAAGGGCGAACUCCCAGCCGCCAGCAGAGGUGUUAUCUGGCGGCAGCUGUGUGCCACCUGAUAGCUGGCACGGUGAGGGGGUGGGGAGCACCCCCACCAGCUGUGCACAGCUGUCCCCGUGGCCGCACAGCGCUUCCCCAGCUGUUCCCUGUCCUGCAGCUGGGCUGCUUAAUUGGCGAUUUGUCGCAGCACGGGGAAACAACACCGCGGGGGUGGGGGGCGGAGGAAAAGAGGGGAAAGCAAGGGAGCUGGGGGGGCUGCAGGAGGAUGCUGGGGGCCGUGCGUGGCAGGACAGCUGGAAGGAGCAGAAAUGGCAGGCACCGGAGCAGACGGCUGAGAAAAAAGAGUGGGAGCCAGAGAGGGGACAGCUCCUUGGGCACCAGGUCAGGGCAGAGGGACGGGGAAGCUGAGCCCCAGGAGGCAGCUACAGAUGCAGCUCUCAAGGCACUUGAGUCCUUCAGAGACAGUCACUUAACUGAGGCCCUGGCUGCGGAGUCUUCAAGGCCUUUUCAACCCCUUCUCUCUCUCCCAGAGAAGUAUCUGGGCUGUGUCGACCCAGCUCCCUGCUUACCACACAAAGCCCUGUGAGAGGCACCCAAAGACUGCCCGGAGAGCUGUUCCACAAAGCUUUCCCGCUUGACUGGACAAUGAUUUGGUCAUCCUUUCCUAGACUCUGCUCCUCUCUGGGAUCCCGGGCCUUCAAACGAGCAGUUCUCAACUCAGGGCCUCUCCCCUAUGCCAGAGGAUAUUCAGCGACAUAUCCGGGGACGUUUUUGGUCAUUAUACUUUGGGGAGGAGUGGGGAGUUGCUGCUGGCUGGUGGCUGGAGGCCAGGGCUGGUGCUCCACGCCCUCCAGUGCACAGGACGGCCCUGCCUCAGAAAAUGAUGUGGCCCCACAUGUCCAUGGUGCCCAGACUGAGAAACUGCUUCACACCAGGGGACCACAGAGCUGGGGUGUCCUCUCUAGAGAAACAGCAAGAGAAGGAGACCACGAGAGCUCGGGGCUUGGGGCCUCUGCUUUCCUUCCAUCACACCCAUGGCUCUGCUGCCCAUGUAGGGACAGCUCAGCUCCUCGCCUCCACCCCCCCCUUCAGCCUGGUCUGCCCGCCUCUGGAAGGUCAGGAGGCCAGAAGACAGGUAGCGCCACCACAGCAGGGGAACCGGAGGGAGGCUCGCCGUGGAAGCUGAGCAGGAAGAAGAGGCUCCGGCUGCCCUGCUCUGCGUCGGCCCUGCAACGCCCAUACCUGCAUCCACAUCGUUGGGCCAGCCACUGGACUGGCUGCUGCCGGCUGCUGGGGAGCGGCCUGUACCAGGA